rnacentral:rRNA from 1 species
AGUGAACGCUGGCGGUAGGCCUAACACAUGCAAGUCGAACGGCAGCACAGUAAGAGCUUGCUCUUACGGGUGGCGAGUGGCGGACGGGUGAGGAAUACAUCGGAAUCUACUUUUUCGUGGGGGAUAACGUAGGGAAACUUACGCUAAUACCGCAUACGAGCUACGGGUGAAAGCAGGGGAUCUUCGGACCUUGCGCGAUUGAAUGAGCCGAUGUCGGAUUAGCUAGUUGGCGGGGUAAAGGCCCACCAAGGCGACGAUCCGUAGCUGGUCUGAGAGGAUGAUCAGCCACACUGGAACUGAGACACGGUCCAGACUCCUACGGGAGGCAGCAGUGGGGAAUAUUGGACAAUGGGCGCAAGCCUGAUCCAGCCAUACCGCGUGGGUGAAGAAGGCCUUCGGGUUGUAAAGCCCUUUUGUUGGGAAAGAAAAGCAGCAGGUUAAUACCCCGCUGUUCUGACGGUACCCAAAGAAUAAGCACCGGCUAACUUCGUG